GGCUCGGUAGCGGAUGGUCCGCAUCUGCUUUCCAUUAAAUGUGUGGACGGAUAAUGCAGACAAGGCCUGUUCGACUCGGGCCCGAGCCA